rnacentral:SRP_RNA from 1 species
ACUUUAAGUGAAUCCAGCUGCUUGGAAGUCGGAUUCAGUGGAUGGUUUGAGGUCAGGAGCCCUGGCGUAGGGUAUCUCACGUUGACUGGGCGUCCGCGCUAAGCCCGGCGUCAAUAUGGUCGAACCGGAGGAGUCCGGUGGCGGCCAGGUUUGCCAAGGAGGGGUGCACUGGGCCAGGUGGGAAACCGAGCAGCCAAAAGUCCCCGCGCUGAGCAGUAGCGGGAUCGCGCCCGAGAAUGGGAGCCCUGCGACAGCCUGACCAACACAGCCUAGACCUGAGUCUUU